UGCCAGCCGCCGCGGUAAUACGGAAGGUACAAGCGUUAAUCGGAAUUACUGGGCGUAAAGCGCGCGUAGGUGGUUUAUUAAGUUGGAUGUGAGAUCCCCGGGCUCAACCUGGGAACUGCAUCCAAAACUGAUUCACUAGAGUACGAUAGAGGGAGGUAGAAUUCACAGUGUAGCGGUGGAAUGCGUAGAUAUUGUGAAGAAUACCAAUGGCGAAAGCGCUCUACUGGACCAUUACUGACACUCAGAGGCGAAAGCUAGGGUAGCAAAAGGGAUUAGAUA
rnacentral:rRNA from 1 species